rnacentral:rRNA from 1 species
GAUGAACGCUAGCGACAGGCUUAACACAUGCAAGUCGAGGGGCAGCAUUGUAAUUAGCUUGCUAAUUACAGAUGGCGACCGGCGCACGGGUGAGUAACGCGUAUGGAACCUGCCCUUUACAGGGGGAUAGCCCAUGGAAACGUGGAUUAAAAUCCCAUAAUACUUUAUUCGGGCAUCCGAAAGGAGCAAUCCGCUAAUAGAUGGGCUUGCGUCUGAUUAGCUAGUUGGUGGGGUAACGGCCUACCAAGGCGACGAUCAGUAGCCGGACUGAGAGGUUGAACGGCCACAUUGGGACUGAGAUACGGCCCAG